CACGUAGGGCGCAAGCGUUGUCCGGAAUUAUUGGGCGUAAAGCGCGUGUAGGCGGCCAGAUAGGUCUGCUGUGAAAACUCGAGGCUCAACCUCGAGCUGUCGGCGGAAACCAUCUGGCUAGAGUCCGGAAGAGGAGAGUGGAAUUCCUGGUGUAGCGGUGAAAUGCGCAGAUAUCAGGGAGACACCAAUAGCGAAGGCAGCUCGCUGGGACGGUACUGACGCUAAGGCGCGAAAGCGUGGGGAGCGAACAGG
rnacentral:rRNA from 1 species